GGAGAGUGUAGAUAAGGUCAUGGAUCAAAAAGAACAUAAAUUGAAUGGGAAGGUGAUUGAUCCUAAAAGGGCCAAAGCCAUGAAAACAAAAGAGCCGGUUAAAAAAAUUUUUGUUGGUGGCCUUUCUCCAGAUACACCUGAAGAGAAAAUAAGGGAGUACUUUGGUGGUUUUGGUGAGGUGGAAUCCAUAGAGCUCCCCAUGGACAACAAGACCAAUAAGAGGCGUGGGUUCUGCUUUAUUACCUUUAAGGAAGAAGAACCAGUGAAGAAGAUAAUGGAAAAGAAAUACCACAAUGUUGUGUGAAAUAAAAGUAGCCAUGUCGAAGGAACAAUAUCAGCAACAGCAACAGUGGGGAUCUAGAGGAGGAUUUGCAGGAAGAGCUCGUGGAAGAGGUGGUGACCAGCAGAGUGGUUAUGGGAAGGUAUCCAGGCGAGGUGGUCAUCAAAAUAGCUACAAACCAUACUAAAUUAUUCCAUUUGCAACUUAUCCCCAACAGGUGGUGAAGCAGUAUUUUCCAAUUUGAAGAUUCAUUUGAAGGUGGCUCCUGCCACCUGCUAAUAGCAGUUCAAACUAAAUUUUUUGUAUCAAGUCCCUGAAUGGAAGUAUGACGUUGGGUCCCUCUGAAGUUUAAUUCUGAGUUCUCAUUAAAAGAAAUUUGCUUUCAUUGUUUUAUUUCUUAAUUGCUAUGCUUCAGAAUCAAUUUGUGUUUUAUGCCCUUUCCCCCAGUAUUGUAGAGCAAGUCUUGUGUUAAAAGCCCAGUGUGACAGUGUCAUGAUGUAGUAGUGUCUUACUGGUUUUU
rnacentral:lncRNA from 1 species